rnacentral:rRNA from 1 species
CGGCGGACGGGUGAGUAACACGUGGAUAACCUACCUAUAAGACUGGGAUAACUUCGGGAAACCGGAGCUAAUACCGGAUAAUAUAUUGAACCGCAUGGUUCAAUAGUGAAAGACGGUUUUGCUGUCACUUAUAGAUGGAUCCGCGCCGCAUUAGCUAGUUGGUAAGGUAACGGCUUACCAAGGCGACGAUGCGUAGCCGAACUGAGAGGGUGAUCGGCAACACUGGAACUGAGACACGGUCCAG